GUGGGUUACGGUGACAUGGCCCCCGUCACCGUCGGGGGGAAGCUGGUGGGGUCCCUCUGCGCCAUCGCCGGCGUCCUCACCAUCUCCCUGCCCGUCCCCGUCAUCGUCUCCAAC
rfam:Aptenodytes forsteri contig22765, whole genome shotgun sequence.